rnacentral:rRNA from 1 species
AGUGGAUGGGGAACAACCUAGUUGUGCGCGUGUAAAGGUAGUGCCAAGAAAAGCGGUGAUCAUGAUGAAAAUCAAUUCCCGGUACCCGAAACCGACACAGGUGGGCAAGUAGAGAAUACUAAGGGGCGCGAGGUAACUCUCUCCAAGGAACUCGGCAAAAUGACCCCGUAACUUAGGGAGAAGGGGUGCCACCGAGAGGUGGUCGCAGUGAAGAGGCCCAGGCGACUGUUUAGCAAAAACAUAGGUCUCUGCAAACUCGAAAGAGGAGGUAUAGGGGCUGACGCCUGCCCAGUGCCGGAAGGUUAAAGAAGUUGGUCAGUCUUAGGAUGAAGCUAGCGACUGAAGCCCCGGUGAACGGCGGCCGUAACUAUAACGGUCCUAAGGUAGCGAAAUUCCUUGUCGGGUAAGUUCCGACCCGCACGAAAGGCGUAACGAUCUGGGCGCUGUCUCGGAGAGAGGCUCGGCGAAAUAGGAUUGUCUGUGAAGAUACGGACUACCUGCAUUUGGACAGAAAGACCCUAUGAAGCUUUACUAUAGCUUGGAAUUGUGUUCGGGCUUCCUGUGCGCAGGAUAGGUGGGAGGCGUAGAAGGUAUUCUUGUGGGGAUACUGGAGCCAACGGUGAGAUACCACUCUCAGGAGGCUAGAAUUCUAACUUAAUUAAGGACAGUUUCAGGUGGGUAGUUUGACUGGGGCGGUCGCCUCCAAAAAGGUAACGGAGGCGUACAAAGGUUCCCUCAGACUGGUUGGAAAUCAGUCGCAGAGUGCAAAGGCAGAAGGGAGCUUGACUGCGAGAAGUACAGUUCGAGCAGGGUGGAAACACGGUCUUAGUGAUCCGACGGUGCUGUGUGGAAGGGCCGUCGCUCAACGGAUAAAAGUUACUCUAGGAUAACAGGCUGAUCUCCCCCAAGAGUUCACAUCGACGGGGAGGUUUGGCACCUCGACGUCGGCUCAUCGCAACCUGGGGCGGGAGUACGUCCCAAGGGUUGGGCUGUUCGCCCAUUAAAGCGGUACGUGAGCUGGGUUCAGAACGUCGUGAGACAGUUCGGUCCAUAUCCGAUGUAGGCGUGAGAAUAUUGAGAGGAGCCUUCCUUAGUACGAGAGGACCGGGAAGGACGCACCGCUGGUGUACCUGUUAUGAUGCCAAUUGUAAACGCAGGGUAGCCAAGUGCGGAGAGGAUAACCGCUGAAAGCAUCUAAGUGGGAAGCCCACCUCAAGAUGAGUAUUCUGGUGUAAGGUCACGGGAAGACGACCCGUAAAUAGGCACGAGGUGGAAGUGCAGAGAUGUAUGAAGCCGAAGUGUACUAAUAGACCGUCGGCUUGACC